AAUCAACGCUGGCGGCGUGCCUCAGACAUGCAAGUCGAACGAUUAAGACUCCCUUCGGGGAGUGCAUAAAGUGGCGCACGGGUGAGUAACACGUAGGUAAUGUACCUUUGGGUGGGGAAUAACUUAGGGAAACUUAAGCUAAUACCGCAUAAUGCAGCGGCUCGACAACGAGACAGUUGUUAAAGAUUUAUCGCCUAAAGAGCAGCCUGCGGUAGAUUAGCUAGUUGGUAAGGUAAUGGCUUACCAAGGCUACGAUCUGUAACCGACCUGAGAGGGUGGUCGGUCACACUGACACUGAAUAACGGGUCAGACUCCUACGGGAGGCAGCAGUCGGGAAUUUUGGGCAAUGGGCGCAAGCCUGACCCAGCAACGCCGCGUGAAGGAUGAAGUAUUUCGGUAUGUAAACUUCGUAAGAAUAGGAAGAAUAAAUGACGGUACUAUUUGUAAGGUCCGGCUAACUACGUGCCAGCCGCCGCAGUAAGAC
rnacentral:rRNA from 1 species